CCUACGUGCGGCAGCAGUGGGGAAUAUUGGUCAAUGGGCGAGAGCCUGAACCAGCCAAGUCGCGUGAGGGAAGACGGUCCUAUGGAUUGUAAACCUCUUUUGUCGGGGAGCAAAAAGGCCUCGUGAGGCCACAAGUGAGAGUACCCGAAGAAAAAGCAUCGGCUAACUCCGUGCCAGCAGCCGCGGUAAUACGGAGGAUGUGAGCGUUAUCCGGAUUUAUUGGGUUUAAAGGGUGCGCAGGCGGAAGAUCAAGGCAGCGGUAAAAUUGAGAGGCUCAACCUCUUCGAGCCGUUGAAACUGGUUUUCUUGAGUGAGUGAGAAGUAUGCGGAAUGCGUGGUGUAGCGGUGAAAUGCAUAGAUAUCACGCAGAACCCCGAUUGCGAAGGCAGCAUACCGGCGCCCUACUGACGCUGAGGCACGAAAGUGCGGGUAUCGAACAGUAUUAGAUACCCUUGUAGUC
rnacentral:rRNA from 1 species